rnacentral:snoRNA from 1 species
CUCCUGUGACGAUCCGGCCAUGUUAAUACUGACGUACCAGGCAGACACAGUUUGUCUGCCUGGUUGCAGGUGAGUUUAACUGACCCUCUCACGCUGAUGUUCUCAGUAGA